rnacentral:rRNA from 1 species
GUGGCGAACGGGUGAGUAACACGUGAGUAACCUGCCCCUGACUCUGGGAUAAGCGUUGGAAACGACGUCUAAUACUGGAUAUGACUGCCGGCCGCAUGGUCUGGUGGUGGAAAGAUUUUUUGGUUGGGGAUGGACUCGCGGCCUAUCAGCUUGUUGGUGAGGUAAUGGCUCACCAAGGCGACGACGGGUAGCCGGCCUGAGAGGGUGACCGGCCACACUGGGACUGAGACACGGCCCAGACUCCUACGGGAGGCAGCAGUGGGGAAUAUUGCACAAUGGGCGAAAGCCUGAUGCAGCAACGCCGCGUGAGGGAUGACGGCCUUCGGGUUGUAAACCUCUUUUAGUAGGGAAGAAGCGUAAGUGACGGUACCUGCAGAAAAAGCACCGGCUAACUACGUGCCAGCAGCCGCGGUAAUACGUAGGGUGCAAGCGUUGUCCGGAAUUAUUGGGCGUAAAGAGCUCGUAGGCGGUUUGUCGCGUCUGCUGUGAAAUCCCGAGGCUCAACCUCGGGCUUGCAGUGGGUACGGGCAGACUAGAGUGCGGUAGGGGAGAUUGGAAUUCCUGGUGUAGCGGUGGAAUGCGCAGAUAUCAGGAGGAACACCGAUGGCGAAGGCAGAUCUCUGGGCCGUAACUGACGCUGAGGAGCGAAAGCGUGGGGAGCGAACAGGAU